rnacentral:tRNA from 1 species
GCCGGUGUGGCGGAAUGGUAGACGCGCUCGAUUCAAAAUCGAGUUCCUUCGGGAGUGCGGGUUCGAGUCCCGCCGCCGGUA